GAAGAUGGCUAAUUUACCAUGCACUUGAUAAUUAAAAAUAAAAAUAAAAAAUCGUUCAAGUAGAGAGCCCUUUCAGAAAAACAUAAGAAAUUUUCUUCAGCUUUGCAUCACAGAAUCUUGAAUUUUAAUAUAUUGAACUAAUUGAAGUACUGUACUAGCAUUUCAGCAGUACUUGACUAGCCAGAUUUGGCACUUCAGCUUUGCAACACAAC
rnacentral:lncRNA from 1 species